rnacentral:rRNA from 1 species
AGAGUUUGAUCAUGGCUCAGGACGAACGCUGGCGGCGUGCCUAACACAUGCAAGUCGAGCGGAGAUGCAUUGAAGAUUUAUCGGAUAUGUAUCUUAGCGGCGGACGGGUGAGUAACGCGUGGGUAAUCUGCCUCACACAGGGGGAUAACACUGGGAAACUAGUGCUAAUACCGCAUAACAUAACGAGGUGGCAUCACUUUGUUAUCAAAGGAGCAAUCCGGUGUGAGAUGAGCCCGCGUCCGAUUAGCUAGUUGGUGAGGUAACGGCUCACCAAGGCGACGAUCGGUAGCCGAACUGAGAGGUUGAUCGGCCACAUUGGGACUGAGACACGGCCCAGACUCCUACGGGAGGCAGCAGUGGGGAAUAUUGCGCAAUGGGGGAAACCCUAACGCAGCAACGCCGCGUGAAGGAUGAAGGUCUUCGGAUUGUAAACUUCUUUGGUUGGGGACGAUAAUGACGGUACCCAAGGAACAAGCCACGGCUAACUACGUGCCAGCAGCCGCGGUAAUACGUAGGUGGCGAGCGUUGUCCGGAAUUACUGGGUGUAAAGGGCGCGUAGGCGGGGAUGCAAGUCAGAUGUGAAAUUCCGGGGCUCAACCCCGGCGCUGCAUCUGAAACUGUAUUUCUUGAGUGCUGGAGAGGAAAGCGGAAUUCCUAGUGUAGCGGUGAAAUGCGUAGAGAUUAGGAGGAACACCAGUGGCGAAGGCGGCUUUCUGGACAGUAACUGACGCUGAGGCGCGAAAGCGUGGGGAGCAAACAGGAUUAGAUACCCGGGUAGUCCUAGCCGUAAACGAUGGGUGCUAGGUGUUG